GCUGAUGCCAUGUCCUCCUGCCGUCCUCCCCACACGGUGGGGUGUGGCUCCAGGACCUUGCUUGAGACACCUGUGUGCCGCGCCAGGUCUGCCUGUGAUUCUCCUUUUGUUGAUGAGAAGUCAGCAGGACUUGUCCAAGGAAGCUCAUCAAACAUGGGCAGAAAGAGGACUGAAGCCCAUUCAUUCAUUCAUUCAUUAAGUCCCUUCUAUGGGUCAGAUGCUAUUCUAGGAGAUAUGACACAAUGACAAGAAAAACAGACAACAGUCCCGAUUCUCAUGAAGGUCCCUCCUUGCCAUCAUCCUGCCUCCAAAUAUGAAGAUUUAGCUCCCACCUGCUCCCUGCUGGGAAACCCCCACCUAGAAGUCUUUCUGCUGGCACGCCUACCCAUGCCAGCAACACAUGAUCAUCAUUAAAGGGGAUUGAUGAGUUCUGCAGAGGAGGCGGCCAAGGAAAAGUGAUUUCUCUUUGGUGAGGCUGACAACACCGCUGGCAUGUUAAGAGGCACCUGUCUAGGAGCCUCUAGGUAAAGCCAGAAGAACACCCCGAUGGCAGUGAAGGAUCUUUUGUCUCUGCUUCCCUCACCCAUCCUCCCACGGCGUCGGACAGGUGCAUGACCAAACAGAUGAAUCCAUCUCUCAAGUGCGUGCAGAGGCUGCAGAUGUAAUUGCAGAGGCCCCGCCAAUCGCAGGCAGGUCCUGAGGCCCCCCCUGAGAGCGCAUGACACUUGAGGUGCUGCGACUGGCAGGGAACCGGAGGGGAGCCUGGCUCCUCCUUCCUCCUGAGCCAAGGCUGUCUCGGGACUUUGCUGGGAGGAGAAAUGAAGGCCAUUUCCCGGGACAGAUGAAGAAUGUGGUUGCGAGAAGAGAAAUGCUGAGGCUGUGGUGCUGGUGAGAGGAAGGCUGAAAGCAAACAGCACAAACGCCAGAAGGGCAGGAGAGAGCCUGCGGGAGAGGAGAGCCAACCCCAGGAAGCAACCCAGCACCAAGUCCUGAUGAUACGGUUGGAGUCUCUGGAUCCAGGCGUGCCUAAAGCCAGUCUUCCUCUGGACUUUGAAUUUUUCUGAGCUAAUUAACACUCCCCCCUGCCACACUUUUUUUGGCAGUGCCCACAACAUUCAGCCAGGGAUCAAACUUGAGCCACAGCUAUAACCAGAGCCAUGGCAGUGACAAUUCCAGAUCCUUAACCUGCUGACCCACCAGGGAACUCAUCCUUUUUACUUGUUAGUUUGAAUUGGGUUUUCUGUCACCUGCAACCAAGGGAAUUCUGACUAAUAAAAGACCUUGGAGUCUACCUCAUUGAACCUCCUAAUCUUACAGAUGAGGAAGAGGUUUGAAAAGUUACAUUGAUGGAUUUUAUAUACAAUCAACUAUCCAAAUAGAGGAGUUCCCUGGUGGCUUAGUGGUUAAGGAUCUGGCACUGUCCCUGCUGUAGCUCAGGUUCGAUCCCUGGCCCAGGAACUUCUGCGUGCUGUGGGCUGUGGCUCCCCCAAAUUUCCAAAUACAUUGCCUCACUUGCUUUUUCCAGCUCACCAGAACAUGGGCCUGUGGUCCUCCUGCCUGGAUGGGGUCACAGAACACUGAUCUUGGUCAAAGAAUACCUAAUCUUUCUUCCACAGAGAGAAUUUCUUAAUUCAAGUCCACAGGAACCAGUUUUCCUUCGCAUUUACAAUGUUUUCAUCCUCCAAGCGGAACUGCUGAUGACCGUCCUUUCUCUUCCACACAGUGCAAUCAGCACAAUUAAUUCUCACCCCAAGGAGACAGAAAGAAGGAACAGAGCACUAAUUGGACGGAAGUAAUCAGAGUCUCCCUUAGUCCACGGUUGUGCCUGCAUGCAGGCAAGUAUGAGCAGGCACAUGGAGGCAUGCACGCACACACACACACACACACUUCUCCCAACGCCCAGUCAACCAAAGCACAAGGAGAGGGUACAGAGUGAGCAUGCUGUCUGAUCAGCAUGGGGCUGUAUAAAAAAAAGCAAGGACUUCUGAGCCACAAAGAUGCCACUGCUAUCCAGUCACUUAAACUUGGCCUCCUCAUUUGUAAAAAGGGGCUACACAGACCUACUUCAAAGCGGUUUGGAAGAUUAAAUAAGAAUACUGUACGCCAAGCCCUUUUCACUGGUGUGUAGCAGGAGCUCAGCAUGGGCUCGUUUCCUUUCCUUUCACCUCAAACACCUUUUAGAGCCGGUGGAGAAUAAAGGCCUAACGUGAUCUGAAAUUUUAGAUGCUUGAAUAUUCUCAAUCCAGCCAAACCUCCAGAAUCUCCCCUUAAUCCUAUGCUACAGUUCUCCCCUAGUCUGCCCCCCAACACACGCACACACACACCCUCCUGGGUCUUUCCUCUUAGGGACUGUAAAUUCUGGGAUGGCAGCCUGGUCUCCCCGUGGCCUCUCCCAGUACCCGGCAGGUGCACAGGAGACACUGAGUGGACCCUUGUUAAAUAACCAUCGACAGAGCCUGUGCCUUUGCUCGCGCUUGUUCUCCGCCUUAGUCUCAGUCCUGGUCAUCUUUCAGGGCCUCACCUAGACCCCACCAUAGCCUUCAUGAACCUUUUGAACCUCGUUCUUGGGAGCACUCUCUUCUCCGAAUGCCAUUCCUCUUUCAUAAUAACCUGCAGCUUUCCACCUGAGAUAGGAGAUACACAUGGGUGACAUAGGAUAUAUAGGGCAUAGGAUAUAUAGGGCUGUCUUGUCUUCCCUGUCUCCUCAAGUUCCUUCCAUCGAUCAUUCAGCCAAUUCCUUGAGCAGGUGUGUGCUCAGCACCAUGGAUACAGGGGCUGUGUCUGUGUGCUGUGCCACCUGUGUCUGUGUCUUGAGAUAAUCCAGGUUCAGACUAGUCCUUGAGCUCAGCCACUGUGUUUGACUCAUCUUCCGAUAUCCCAGGACUUGAUCCUCAAUAUUUGAUGAUGGCAAAGGGUCACCCAGGAGAGUACAUCUGGACUAGGACAUCAGUAGGUCUUAUGAGGGUACUCAAGACUAAUGAGCUUCUUGAGGUUGGCCACAGAUGUCCUUGGGCUUUCUGAGGGAAGGGAUUUAGUAUUACGGACAGAGGUCUGGGGGUCUCCCCCUAGAUUAUGUCACACAGGAUGCCUUCAAAUUCAAACACCCUGAAUCAGCUGAGACUUGGUAGCCGGGCAUCUGUGAUUCAUAAUCUACCGGCAGAAGCUCUGGCCUGAGGUAAGGACCACUUUGCCACCAGGUUUCACAGUGAUGUUGUACAAGCCAUUUACCCAUUCUGGAUCCACCUCAAUUUUACAGCACCAACCAUUAUGAGCCCCCACUAUGUUCCUGGCAUGACGCCUCGUCCUGGAGACACAGAGACAAGUCAGAGAGGAAUCGCUCCCUUCAAGAGCUCAUAGUCUGGUUGGCAUUAUGAAAAGGAACAUCAUAAAGAGAGGGUAGAACAUCUCUCUAAUAUGUAGUUCUUUGUUUUUAAAUCCUGAAGAGGGCUCCUCGCUGCCUUUAGGACAAAUUUCCAAUCUCUACCUGGAACAAAGACCUUUUAUUAUCCGACCCCUGCCUACCUGCCCAGCCUCUUCCCCACACACCCUGUGUCCUGUCCAUACUCCAGUGCAAGUCCUUCCCAAUGCUCCAUCCAUGUCUUUGCAAGUGGGAUGCCCUUCAAAAUUCUCUACCUGCUGAACUUCUGAUGAUCCUUCAACACGAAGUGAAAGUACCAAAAUAUAGAGGUAUGUGCGGGAGCAUCACCCUGGUAAAGUGAAAAUAGUUCUAAGUAAGAAAUGGUCUUAAGAAAGCCUCCCCCCUGCCUCUUUCUUCUUCUAUUAAAAGGGCAGAUUAGGUUGUAUUAGCUCUACCAACACUUUUGAAACUAGGCAGGACCCCACGGGCCCUCCCAGGUACAAAAGCCCCUCCUUGUCCCCUGUUUCUCAUUUGUGGAAAAAAAGCUUUAGUCUCCUAGACCUUCCCUGCGUUCCAAAGAGCAGACUCAAGGAGUUACUAAUGAGGGAAGCGAGGAAAUGCAGAAACAAAGGCAAAGCAGUCACGCAAGGAAAGCAAUGAGGGCUUAAACAGCAGUUCGGUGAUAAAACAGAGUCCAGCUCCUCCUGAAGGGAGCUGCAGAACACUUUGAUGCCUAUCUUUGAGUUCUUCUGCAGGAGCAAAACCCCAACAGGUGGACGAUGGUGACUACAUGCUGACCACAAGCAUAUAGGCUGGUUAGAACCAGAAGACUGAUUAAAAGAAAAAAAUGAUUCCCAAACAUCACCCUGUUACCUGACCACCAGCUACUCAGAAGAAAGGCCAUGAGGUGCUCACGUACCUAAACCCUCAUCCUAAAUGUUGCCUUUAAAACCUUCCCUGAAAACCAGUAGGGGAGUUUGAGUCUUCUGCUGCCUGUUCUCCCUUGCCUGGUGAAGUGACUUUUGCUCAAAUCAUCAAGCUAGAAGGUGGUGGAACUGAGAUUUGAACUGACUCCCAGAUCAUUAUGCUAAUGCCCAUGUUGGUUAUUCCCUCAAUAAUGCAUGAUUGAUGCUAACCGUGUGCCAGGCACUGUGCUAGGCACUGGGGUGCAAAACUUGGAGCAUGGUUGCUGUGGCUCAGGGCAGGUAAUGGUAGAGCAGGGCCAAAUCCCUUAUGUUGGUCCCUGGUCUCCAAGAUCUGAGGCUCUCCUGUCUCACUGCGUCACUUCAUCACCAGGAAGCUCCAUAGCCAUCUUCCCAGCCUCUCCCUCUCCCCAGUGAAUAGCAAAACGCUUCCUCAGAACAACCCCUUCCCCUGCCCUCAAAUCUUUUGCUGUGCCCACCGUGGAAAGAUAGCCAAGGCUGCUGCCAAGUUCAUUAAUAAUUUUGGCUUUCUGGAGGAAGGAGUUGGAUUGCUUUGCUCUUCAAAUAUCAAAACACCCAAUUAACACAGCUAAUUAGCAUCACUAGCAGCAGUCAAAAGAAUGGCAAUUUAGAUGCAGGAUUUCAAAGGUUUCCUAGUUGUAGGCCAAGGCAACCCAUCUCUUACUAAUGACAAGAGUCCCUCGCUUAGGCAAUUCUAUAGCAGCCAUCAAUUAGCCUAGCCACCAGGCAGAGACGGGCUGCAUCCCCGAGUCAUUUGUCUAAUCAGAACUGGGGAUAGAGAGAAAGAGACAGAAUAGGAGGAGGGAGGGAUGGAGGGAGGAUGGGGUGGGGGGAGGUAGAGGGUGAUAGGGAGGGAAAGAGGGAGAGAGAAAGUUAGAGGGAGAGGGGGAGAGAGAGACAGAGAAAGGGAAAUAAAGAGAGGGAGAGAUACAGAGAAAUAACACACAAAGACAGACAGUCUCAAGAGGCAAAAAAGACAGAAGUGGCGGAGAGAGUGAGAAAAAGGGAAACAAAGGGAGAGACACAAAGACACAGAGAGAGAACAAGAGAGACACGAAAGGUGGCUUACAGAUAGAUAAACAGCAAUCAUAUAGGUACAGAGAAAAGGAGAUACAAUUCUUAAAUGUAGAGAAGACAGGACAAAAGAUGUCUGACCACCUGUAGCUUUGGAAAAGAAGCUGAUCCCCGGGAAGCCUAGGGUUCUGAUCUGCAAAAUCAGGCUUAGCUCUAAGUGUUCAACUUAAAACUUGGCAAAGUUUGGCAACACCCAAGAGAGGAGAGAUGAGGAGACCCAAACCAGAGGUCCUUCUCGUCCCUUCUCAAUAAUACACGACGGUAUCAUUACCUUCCAGGAGCCUUGAUGAUGAGGUCACCAGUCCUUCCUCUGUGCACUUUCUCUCGUAAACCCAAUGGGCCCAGCAGCCAGGCCUCAAUCAGCCGGGACUGUCGUCUGCCUCAGGGAAGGGAAGCAGUGGAUCUCCGGAGGCCACCGCAGAAAGGGCGUCCGUGUCUUCCUCCACUUCACCACACGGCCUUAGCCCGGGUUCAGGCCUCAGGGUUGCAUCUCUCGAUUACUGCAACAGCCUCUGGUCCCUCCUUGCUGCUGUCCAAUCCCGUCUUAUUGCCAGAGAGCCAUUUGUAAGAUGUAGAUACAGCCAUGUCUGUCUCUGAUUUAAACCCCUUUUUAAUGAGUUCCGUACUUUCUCUAGAUCAAGAUCAAGUCCAAGCCCAUUAAACCCAGGAUUCAAGACCUCCCUCUGGGCUCUGGUUCCUGAAGUCUUCCCUAACCUUCCCUUGACCCAUUUCUCCCCACCCUGUACUCACCCUCCAAGCACACUAGAUGACAUGGGGCCCCUGCAUGACUCACACAUCUUGACCGCUGGACACGUCCUCAUGCAGACCGGCCCCACGAUACCUAAUUGAUCCCAGCUCCUUCUGUGUGGAUUUCUGUGUCUGUGCUUUUGUUUAGACAUGUCCCCUGCCCCUUGUUCUUUUUACAGCCCCAUCUGUUACCAUAUGGUACACAAGGGUCACAAGCUCAGAUGUCUUCAGAGGAUGGGCUUAUAGUAUAAAUAUGUGCAAUGACAGGUGUGAAACAAUAGGAGGCACAGCCAAAAACUGGACGGUGAAUGCCAAACUUUAAGAUCCUCAAACUCAACAUUAACCCAACCACCAACCAACUCCCUGCCAGCAAACAUUCUGGGCAGAUCGACCAUCUGCAGGAAGGCAUCAGCCAUGGGCUGCCAGUUGGUGAUACUCCAUCUGUAACUUAGAGCUUAGCUUGGCCCAGAAGGUCCUCCAUGCUCAGACUCUGUUUCCAUCUCUUGCAUCUGGUUCCCCUGUGCAGGGGCAUUUUCAUAGCCUCCACUGUCUCCUCCCCUCUGGCCCCUGCAGGGGUGUUAACUGUGUGUAAACAGCUGCAAAGAACACUAACGUUUACCGCGACUAAGCCAAUCCCAUCGUAAGCCUGGCCCAGGCAAGAUGUUAUUAAUCAGCAUUUUAAUGAAGCCUAAUUACAGCAGAUGAUGCCUCCUACCAGGUAAGACAAUGGUUGCAGAUGGGCGCAAACCAGGAUAUUGCUGCCCUCUCCUGGAACUUGCUCCCUGCAAGUGCCAGAGGGUAAACUCUAGAAGGACUGGCUGUACUGAGCAGAGUCUAGCAGAGGGCCCUCUCCUAGUAGGCAAGGACCCCUCCCCAGGGCCUACAGAGAGUCUGGCUCACCAUCCCUCCUGAGGUCCCCCCCCCGCCACGCCCUAUCCUUCCAGGUAUGACUGGCUCUCGAUUUCCAGCACCCACUCCUGAGUCAGGACGUGGUUAGGGGUUAGAGUCUUCGUAGGUUGUCUCGGUUUCCUCAACUCUCUGUUAGCUCUUUCGUCCUAUCUACUCCUUUUCUCUUUAAAAGUCUCCAGCACCAGGGACCCUCCCAGCCCCAUCCCCUAGGGCUGCUUAAUGGUUGCGAGCGCAGGCUAUGGAAUCAGAGGAUGCCAAUCCGACUCUGACACCCACCCCUACCAGCUGUGACCUUGGGAGAGCUACUUCUCUCUCUGACUUUCCAGGUCCUCAUCAGUCACAGGAGAACAAUAAUCUCUGUCCUGUCUUCUUCACAGGGUUGUCUGGAGAUUCUGGAAAAUUCCUAGGGCAGUGCCUGCCGCUUAGCCCAGUCCCUUCUCUCAUUCUGAGACGUCGCUGUGAAGUCAGUUGCUGGCUGAAAUUCUUGGCCCUUGCUGGUUGUUUCUUUCUUGAUUGGAGGAUGAAGUACGGAUUUCACGAUGCUCCCAAAAUCAUACCAGGAGGGAGGGCUCACUGGUCCGGGGGGGUAAACUGACCUGACUCCCCUUCUGUCUCUCCUCCUAGACACACUACCUGCUUAAUUAAUACAGUAAUUUCCUCGUGCUACUCUCUUGCUCAAGAACCUUCUCUGGCUCCUUGUUGCCUAUCAGUUAAAACCUCAGAUUAAGACGAUGGCAUUCAAGGCUUUCUGUGACCUGGUCCCAAAGGACUUCUCCAGCUUUAGCUCCUGAGUCUCCCUUGCCUGAACUCACAGGUCAAGACAGGCCAAUUUUUUAACACGCUCAGCUCCACCACUCAGCCUGUAUUCAGGAUGGUCUACCCUCCAGAAUGCCUGCCCUGCUUCGCUACUAAACUGUAAGCUCCUUCAUCAGACUGUGAGGGUGGAGGCUAUUUUGUUUUGCUUUCAGUUCAGUAUCAAUAGAGCUGGACACAGUGAAGUCCCUCAAUAAAUAUUUGUGAACGUGAACUAAGUGCGACUCUUUCAGAGUCUUCUUUAAAGUCCACGUUGGGUGCGCUGAUGUGGUCGGGCUCAGGAUCCGAAGCUCAGGAUCUGAAGCCGACAGACCUGGGGGCAGACUCACGCUCUACCACUGGGAUGGCUAAUUUUAUUUAGCAACUCGUCUAGGACACAAUGCCCAGCUAAGGGUUCAAAUAUUAUUCUAGAUGUUUCUGUGAGGACUUUAAGAGUGUAGCACUUAAAUUGGUGACCUUUAAAUAAAACAGAUGACCCUCCAUCACAUUGGUGGGCCUCAUCCCAUCAGUUGAAGGACUGAAUGAAAUAAAAGAUUGACUUCCCCUGAGCAAGAAGGAAUUUCUGCAGCCUUUGUACUUGAAUGAGAGCAUAGGCUGUUGCCCAGGUCUCCAGCCUGCUGGCCCACCCUGCAGAUUCGGGACUUGCCAGCCUCCAUAACCCCAAGAGUCAAUUCCUUACAAUAAAUUCCUUUUUCUACAGACACACAUCCUAUUAGUUCUGUUUCUCUGGAGAACCCGACUUACACGAUCACACAGCAGCAGUGCAUUUCUGUCACGUUAUUUUACCUGGCUCAGGCUUUGCUGUCUAAGCCGGAAAAUGAGAGGAAUUGUUCCUCCUUCACAGGGUUGUUGCGGUGAUUUAUUGAGACCCUGGCUGUGUAUGUGAGAGCCUUGUAGACUGCGAGCUCCUGUACCUUAUGGCUAAGUCUCGUUAUCAAGCCCCAUCACCUCCAGGACGGUGUCCCCACCUGCCCCAGCCCUAUUCAUUCACAGACAUUCCUGACCUCCAGGAGCAGUCUGGACCCACCCCCCAUGGUCUCUGUCCUUUCUUUUGGCAUCUAAGCUCUGGUGACACUGAGCACUGGGUGGGAGACAGAGCGGGUGGGGACAGGGGGCCCAGUAAAGACACCCACCCGGUAGAGACCAGCCUGGGGCAGCUUGCCAAGCUAGAGCAGAGGCUGCUGUGAAGGAUUCAUAUGCGGUGCUGCAGUCAGUUGGGUCCUGAAUUUAAAUGCAGCCCAUUGCUCUUUGUCUCGACAGGGUAAUAAAAAACCCUCAGACAAGAUCUUAUGGAUGCAGAGGUACAGCACUGGCUCGCCGCUCUCUGCCCACCAUCUGAGAGCACAGAGGCAUGUCUGGGGCCUGAAGGAGCCAGACCCUGUCCGGGAAACAGGUGGCCAGUUUAAACGAUGUAGGAUAAACUUGGCUGGAAGGCAGGGCUCCAGGCUGGCUUGGCUACCGGGGAGUCCCGGGUUCCUUCUGGGGCCAGGCGGAAGCAGCAGAGGCUCCCUGUGAGAUGCCAUCCUCCUGGUGGAUUACUGGAAUAGCCAGCGCCAAGCCAAACCGCACACUGGGGACUCCACCUGCCUGCAUUGGUUCUGCUGGGCUCCUGGUUGCCAAGGCUUGUCCCCAACAUGUCCAACAUCAGUGGGACAAGGAAGAGGUCUUUUCCUGCCUGAGGUCUCUUCCAGCACUCGAAGUUCCAGAUGUUCCCAGUUCCUGAGACAACAUCGGGUAUCCUGUCUCUGGCCGUGGCCUAGAAUGUUCAUUACGUGUCACAUCUGCCCAUCAGCUUCUCCAUCAGAUUGUACAUGCAACCUUGGAAUAUAAGGGCCUCCCUGGCUCCAUAUCUGUGUCCCCGGCCACCCAGCAUAUGGGUGUUCAGAAACUCCUCAAUAAACAACUGAGGGAAUAACUGAACAGAUGACUGGCCGGUAUCUGGGCUCUUGCGUUUUCUAUGUGCUCCCUUGCCUGUCUACCUGGACCCGGGCCCUCUGUGUGUGCUUUGACCCUGGGCCCCCGGGGUACAGCUCCAAACCCUGGGUCUGGGUUCCAGUAGAGCUAAGACACAUUGUAUACAGUCCAAGUCCUUUGACCCACCAUCCACCUUCUGGCUGCAAUUUGAGUUCAUCGAAUGAAUUGGAAAGGACACAAGAGACUCCUUGGUUCAACGGCACCCUUGAGGGAAGAAGCAAUGUCUUAUUUAUCUUUGAUUCCCAAUGCCCAGCAUAGGACCUGGCACAAAGUGGGUACUUGGUGAAUAUUUUGUUUGGCAUGAACUCCUGUCAUACUUUUACACAUACGAAAAUGAAAGCCCAGAGAGGGGAAAUGAGGUCGCUGAGUCACACAGUAAUUUUCUGUUGCUCUGGAUUCCAGUCUGGCUCCUCUGACUUCUGGGAGGUCAGCACCCGCUGGACCUUUCCUAAGGUCUCAUUUCUUGACACAGACCUAAGGUUAUAUGAAGUAGAACCUGAAUUACUUGUUCCAAAUUUGAUUCCAAAAUUGUUCCAAAUUUGUCUUUGAACAUUGAUGGAUCCAACAUGGAUGAAUUCAUGCUGCUUUAAAGCCAUGAAGGCAAAAGGCAACUGAUGUGGCAGCAUCAGAGCAGAAUUUGAAAGCUGAGAGAUCUGAGUUUAAGAAUCUGUUCAUUGCAUGACCUUGAGAAAAUUCCCUACCUGCCCUGCGCAUCCAUCUCCUCCCCCAUCUCCUGUUCCAAAUGGGGACCACAGUGCUUCACUUUCAGGGUUGUAGUAAAGAUGGACGCUAAUGUGUGCCACGUGCCUGGACCAUCUUAAUCUUAGAUGGUCAGUCACUCACAACGACGCUGUAUUUUCAGAUUGUACUUCCAAGCGGGCCUGCGGCACCAGGCAUCACCUUCGGAGCAUUUGCCCUUGCAAAGACGCUCAGUCUCUGUGCCCUGCCAUCCUGCUAUUUUAAUAUUCGCAGUGCCACUGUCACUCCAGAACAGCCACUGACCAUAAAGUUUGACAUUUUGAAGAUUAAAGUGCUUUGAAUUAGUCAUGCA